GGAGAACAAAGGAAGGAGGAAGUAACUUGUGGAGUGCUGAGAAAGGUGAUCAGAAGAGCCAUCACUGAAGAUGACAACUGAGCAAAGACCCAAAGGAGGUGAAGAGUGAACUACGGAGGAAGCACCUUCCUGGCAGAGAACAGCAAGUGCAAAGGCCCUGGGCAGGGAGGAUGACUGGGGAUCAUUCAAGCAAGAGCAAAGAGGCCAAUGUGGAAGGAACAGAGUCAGCAAGAAGGAGUGUAAAAGGAGGUGCUCGUGACGACGACUGGGAGCAGAGCACGAGGCUGGAGAGAGCACCCCUCAAUACCGGACUCGGUACUGUUUGUGUUGGCAAAGUCACUUAAAUGCCCUUCUAUGACAAGCUGGCAGAGCUGCUUGCCGCACUAGGGAAGGAGGAGGAAAUGACAGCAGAGGAGCUUCAUCCAGACAGAAAGAUGUAGAAGGGUCCAGCCCUUCCCUCACAUCAGGGUGCAAAGAGUAGGAGGCAGUCAAACAUGUAUCAUCACUUCCCUGCCCGCAAAUUCCGAGGAAGAGGUGAUGUACCAGUCAGGAGACAGAAACCACACCAGUCAUUUCAAUAGGGAAAAUUUAAUAAAAGAAUUAUUAACAAAAAGUAGAUACUGCUAAGAGAGCGUUCUGUGUUUUCUGAGAUUCUGUAUUCAUCUAUUUGGCAUCCAUUAGUCUAAUCACAGGGUCAAACUCACACACAGCCAAAGCUGUUUCCGUCUCCCCUGCCACCCAGAGCCCAUUCUCUGAACCACCUC
rnacentral:lncRNA from 1 species